GUAGGGAAUCUUGCGCAAUGGGCGAAAGCCUGACGCAGCCAUGCCGCGUGAAUGAUGAAGGUCUUAGGAUUGUAAAAUUCUUUCACCGGGGACGAUAAUGACGGUACCCGGAGAAGAAGCCCCGGCUAACUUCGUGCCAGCAGCCGCGGUAAUACGACGGGGGCUAGCGUUGCUCGGAAUUACUGGGCGUAAAGGGAGCGUAGGCGGAUAGUUUAGUCAGAGGUGAAAGCCCAGGGCUCAACCUUGGAAUUGCCUUUGAUACUGGCUAUCUUGAGUAUGGAAAAGGUGUGUGGAACUCCGAGUGUAGAGGUGAAAUUCGUAGAUAUUCGGAAGAACACCAGUGGCGAAGGCGACAUACUGGUCCAUUACUGACGCUGAGGCUCGAAAGCGUGGGGAGCAAACAGGAUUAGAUACCCUUGUAGUCC
rnacentral:rRNA from 1 species